GAUUAACGCUGGCGGCGUGCAUAACACAUGCAAGUCGAACGAUGAAACUUAAAUGAUUUCUUCGGAAUGAACUUAAGUGGCUUAGUGGCGGACGGGUGAGUAACGCGUGAGUAACCUGCCUUACACACGGGGAUAGCCGUUGGAAACGACGAAUAAUACCCUAUGAAACUAUCACUUCGCAUGAAGCGAUAGUCAAAGUGUUAGCGGUGUAAGAUGGACUUGCGUCUGAUUAGCUAGUUGGUGAGAAAAAAGCCCACCAAGGCAACGAUCAGUAGCCGGCUUGAGAGAGUGUACGGCCACAUUGGGACUGAGACACGGCCCAGACUCCUACGGGAGGCAGCAGUGGGGAAGUUUGCACAAUGGGGGAAACCCUGAUGCAGCGACGCCGCGUGAUUUAGAAGGCCUUCGGGUUGUAAAAAUCUUUUGUAUAGGAAGAAAAUGACAGUACUAUACGAAUAAGGCCCGGCUAAUUACGUG
rnacentral:rRNA from 1 species